AGACACAGUUGUCUCCAUAAUCUGCUAUUAUUGCCGAGGUAAAGCUUACGGAGUCCCAAGAAGAAAUGAGGAGAUGGUUGGAAUGCGGGGCGAAUCGGAUCCUGGAGAUGGCGUCGCGGAUCGGGUUGCUACCGAAGCUUAAACAGGUUUGUUUCAUGUUCAUUGGGGGCGACUCUCAAAGUCGUUCAACCGCUGCAAUUGCAAAUGCAGUACUAGCGGUAACAGGAAUCUUUUGCUGCUUGAGGUUCUCAGAACGACGUCGUUGCCGGAGGAUUUGGGCUCCAAAAUUUGAAAUGCCGUGGCGCGAUUCGAAUACGUGUUAUCUUCACUCUUCAGGAUGGAUGCCAGCGUCCACCAUUACGACGCCGUAUUGAGCUCGGGAAGGCUUUACAAUGACGGGUUAGUUAAACAAAGUACCCUUCCUAAAGACUAUGAUAUAGGAAAUGGGGAUUUCACACUAUGAAUUGUCGAAAAUAUUGGUAAUACUACUGUAAAGAAGUUUUACACUUAAACUUCACAUUGUUUUUAAUCUUUCGCCUCUCCAUUUCCUUCCAUAACUCUUUUUCCUUUUCUCUUCUGACUUGAUAUCUUCCUAAAAUUCCAUUUUUCUACUUCAUUUUCUCAUCUAUGAGACCAACCUUUGAAGGAUUGAAUCCGAGAUGAUUGAAUAAAGAUUUCUUCCCCGUUGGGGGAGGGGAAGGUAGGUAAACUUUUAAGGCUCAUGUCAUUCUUCAUGCUACCAACCGAGCUCCAAAUGUUCCAUUUCUUGGCUAAACUCCUAUGCAACAUACUAAACACAUGAAAAUUUUCUGAUAAGAGCUUGAUCUUCUCUCUGUUUCCCUAAACUCCAAACUCGGCCCAGCAUGGGACUGUUGAGCGUUCAUAGCUUUUUCAGGUCACCAAACAACUGGCAGAAGUACUGCCCCCAUGAGUAUUCAACUACCUCUGCAAAAUGGCCGUAAAGAAGGAAAUGUGAGGUCAGAUGAGCAGGAUACAGCACAAUGGGGAAAUAUUGGAAUUUUCCAAGGCCUAAUGUUUUUGCUCCUACAAACCAAGACACGUGCACUCCAAACACACCAGCCAUGAUGUGCACGAAACAUGGAUGCACGACCAUUACUGCAAAGAAACGUCAACUUUCACAUUUACCCAUAUUUCCAACGACCUAAGCAAGAAAUUGUAAAUAUAUACAAGAGUAGCAAGACUACAAGUUUGUAACAAUUCUAGGAGAUAGCAAAGACCAAAACCAAGUUAGAAAUGAUAUCACUACUGGCAAACAACAUAAUUGCAUUUCUUCUAAUUCUUCUCUCCCUUCCUCCUUGCUUGGCAAAAGCUUCAUCUCACAAGCUGAAGUCGUUGAAUUUUUUAUUUGGGACGUAGAAGUCGAACUUGACAUCGACAGAACCAGAAUUUUCUCCAUUGUCUUUAUACUCGAUGUUAGUAAUUGUUCCCGUAGGAUCUUCCUCUUGAUAUUCUGGUCUGACACGUCUAACAGGAACUGUAACCGAGUAGACAGUCCCCAGGUCUGGAUCUGUUGAUACACUCAGCUGGACUUUAUCUUGUGAUUCUAUCUCCACAAAAUCAGAUAAGGCAGUCACUAUGUUGCUUACAAUUUUCUGUUUUGCCUCAUCACUCACAGCACAUCGAUCAGAGAAGAGAAUCAUCUUCAAGCGGU
rnacentral:lncRNA from 1 species